rnacentral:rRNA from 1 species
UACGGGGGGGGCAAGCGUUGUUCGGAAUUACUGGGCGUAAAGGGCCAGUAGGCGGCCAACUAAGUCCGACGUGAAAUCCCAAGGCUUAACCUUGGAACUGCGUCGGAUACUGGAUGGCUUGAAUUCGGGAGAGGGAUGCAGAAUUCCAGGUGUAGCGGUGAAAUGCGUAGAUAUCUGGAGGAACACCGGUGGCGAAGGCGGCAUCCUGGACCGAGAUUGACGCUGAUGCGCGGAAGCCAGGGGAGCAAACGGG